GCCUCCUCUGCAAGGAUAACACAUCCUGAGAAAUGUUUGUUCAAAGUGCCAUGCACAAGAGCCAGAACACAAGGGAGGACGGACCCAGGAUCCCUGGAUUGGUGGAGUUUUGGUGGAGUCCUUCUCCUGGGAGGGAAUAUUUUUGGACACAGCUGGCCAGAGAGAAAAUACAAUGCUGGCAUGCUAAUCGCGUGAGACAACUUGGCCCACGGACAGCCACAAAGCACAAAAACAAAACACAAACUCAGAGAAGAAACAAGAAUCGUGUUUUCCUGGCGUCUAUGAGAAGCGCUUUAUUUUUCCUCUAGAUUUCUUUUCUAAAAAAAAACAAAAACAAAAAAACUGAAACAUUUAAAGAAACAGUACAAACUUCAGGUGAUCAUAUUCAAGCAUGUUCUUUUAUUAAGCAUAGGAUGGGAGUCACAGCAGGAACUUUAAGUAGAAUGUGAAAGCACGAGAACGGAGACUGUGACUGACGGACAAAGGGAUUAACUUUUUAUUCUCUGCCCCCCAAAAGAUCCCGUGUAUUCUUAAGUACACACACUUCCCUUCCUGAGUCUCAAGGUAUCUAAGGAAUGAUUUGAAAAGUUUGUUAUAAUCUUUAAAGAAUUUUUUGUAUAGCAGUGGCGAGGGAGACUGUGACAAGUACUUUGCCACCUGGAAGCUCUGGGUAUUCUACUCUGUCUGGGUGUCACCGCCAUCCUGGCUCGCUGGGACAGGGUUCUGGGAUUUGUCUCCCCAGCAGUUGCUAAACUGGCUCAGGCUCAGUCAGGAUGAAUGCAACAAUUAUCUCCUGGAUCAAUGCAGCAAGGAGCAGUGAACAGUUGCUUUUUCUUCCCUAAGUAGGAGAAAGCCAGCCCCUGGCUGCAGUGGUGGCCGUGGUGAUAGCUGGAUGGGACGAGGGGACCUCAGGCUAUUCAACAGUAAAAGAAAAACAAUUGCUGGUGCUUCUCCAGGGAGAUAUGGAACCUACACACCAACCAGGUUUUAUACUUUCAAACAGGCCACCAUCAGAAAGCAAAGAGACCUUAGGCCUAGCCCAGCCCCAGAAAAGUGAUACUUUACCCCAGGAAUUCCCUGCUUCCCAUUGGUACUUAACAUUUUUCACUCUGUUGUGACUGCUCUUAUUUCCUUCACUCUUGCGGAUCUGCGUUGGAGGGACAUUUGGAAGGGGCCCAGCUCUGGCACUUGCGUGAGCGGACACACACACACGGCGGGUAUCUGCGCCCAUCCACUCCUAGCUCCUCUUAGCCGGACUGGCUGCCAAGCCGUUCUUGGAUGAGCCUCUCACUGAGUGCCCACAGGGCCCGGGCCGUCUCUUCGCUCUGUGCUUCUGGCGAGGGCAUGCAGCGGCAGCAGUUGUUGAAAUACAUCCCUCCCAGACCCUCCAGUUCUGGGGCAGCAGCACAGUACACGGUGGUGGCAGCUCCCUGUUGCUGGAAAUCCAAGAAGACAGACAAAGUUGUAAGAAAAGGAACAACGAAAUGACAUCAUUUCAACUGCCUGGGCAGUAGUGAGCCUCCCCCAUGUGGUUCAGUUUCAGCUGGAUCUUGGCAUAGCGAAGGGUACUGGGCUGAAAGCACAUGACUGUAAAAAGCAUAAUGGGAGUAUCCUGGAAAAACGAGUUCAUAAACUCCGCUUGUAAAGCUGGUGUGACUUUUGACACCUCAUAUAGGAACAGGCUUGGAAAAGAAAUACAUAUCAAUUCGUUGUGGCAGGCGCCUCUUCCACGCAGAGAAAAAGAUGGUACCUUCUGAACGUGCAAGAACAAAUUCACCCAACCCCUCGACUUCUCCAUGUAUCUAUAAUGUAAUUCGAUACCACAUCAGUUGAAGAAUUUUCUGACAAAUCAACCACUCUUAAUUAUGGUCCAUCAGGGAGAAAACCCAAUUGGGGCUGGUGCCAGAUCAUCCGUUUAUGCUUUGCCCACAGUGCUGCUAGGGGAAGGAUGGGCAAUGCUGUGUUAAAACAUUUAAUGCACACACAUACACAUACUCCUCACCGUACAUCCAUACCUAGCACAAAUACAUAACACAUUUCUUAAUUCAUCCGGAUACCGUGAAAACCUUUUUCUAAAUGUCGUAUUUGUCCCAGAUUUACAAUGGGAUCAUGGGUAAGGGUGUACAUUUCUUUCAGCCCAUUUCAGAAUGUAAGUUGCAAAGAGUGCAACUGAUCACUUUCAUUCACCUUUUGAGUAACAGUUGGGGCUGUGGCUGGGGAUGUGUGCACUGAUGGGGCAUAUCAUAUCAUCCAAACUGACAAUACUGUCAGGGAUGCUGUAAAGAGGGCAAGAAAUCACUUUGCUUUGCAAGCCAUAAUUAAAAAUAAUAGGCUGCUGUUCAGAGGGAGACAUGGUUGGCACGUCUCUAAUUUAAAACCAAUACAGUUUAUCUGGCAUCUUAUGAUUAUUUAUGUGUUUCACAGCUCUAACUGCAUCCACUAAUUUUCAGCUGAUAGGGAGAGGGGUUGCAAGAGAGGACUGGAAAAGGUAACUAAAGAUAAAGUUGCCCCUACUAGGCAAACAGUAAGGAACUUUGUGGGGGAAAUGGCUUUCUGACCCCACCCAAAUCUUAUUUUCUGCCCCUGCAGGGUUUUACAUUGUGACCAUGAAGGGUGCUUACUGGAGGAGUUUCCCUCAAAUGGUUUAGUUUGCAAUCACUGUGCUUGCAUUCUAGGAUCCCUGGGAAAGCCAGGUCCAUUCUGAGAAUUAGGGUCCUGAGAAAGGUGUUAUGAUGUGAAGAACAUGCCACACAGAAGACUUGGGUUUGUUGUUUGGUUUGAGCUUCUUCAGUGUCAGGGUAUGUAGUCACAUUUGAGUUGGUCUGAAAAUUGGUCAAAUCUCUGGGAAAGGUGUGGCCCGUGAGUCAGACAAAGACUUGGGUUUUGAUAAUACCUGGGUGCUUGAAGAUACUGGCCAAGCCCCAUUGGUCUUGAAUUUGACCUGACUUGAACUUAAUUAAAUAGCAACUGGUUUGUUACCUCCCCAAUCUCCUUCCAUUACCAUGCCCACUCCAAAUCGCCAGAUAGUAUCCUGGAUUCUAUCCUGGAUUCAGCUGUUUCUUUUCCCAUUGAUUUGUGUGGCUCAAGUCUAAUGGAAAUGAGUUCAUGUCAUCCAAAUUUCCUUUCACUGAAUUAUUAUUCCUAAUAACCCUGAGCUUAGCACCUGGCACAUUUAUCAAAACAAGUUCAAGUGGUUUAUCUGGCUCUACUGCAUCCCAUGUGGGGAAAAGGGAAGCAGAAGUGCCUCUACAGACAAACUGGAGAAUUGAGAUGCUCAUCCAGCUAACUCAAGCCAAAUAGCAAUUUGGUCUGGAAUCUUAGCAGAGUUCUGGUGGAGAUGGUGUUUUGCAUCAACUUCCAGAUAUCUGUCAUAGAUUUCCAUUUUAUUUUGCAGCUGCCAAAACCACCAGAGUGGCCAAGUGACUUAACUCCUGAGUGGUGGGAGAAUCCAGCUUACUCAUUUCAAGUCCAGCCUCCCGCCCCCUAUGCCACAAUGGUUACACUAUUCAGCAUUCAGUCGUAUGACAGACUGGCCUUUCACUGUUCUGCCAAUUGUGAGGAAAAACCAAAGCAGUCCACUUGGGAAAGCGAAAUGCAGAAUUCUUACUAACUUGAUAAAAUAUUUUGCCACUAUGACCUUCUGUAACGAUAUCAUGUUGCACUUUUGCAUUACUGGAAUGGUAUUUUUGCAAAGAAAUUCUGCAGUCCCACUGAUUCAGAAUGCUGUUGAUGCGGGAGCUGGGGACCUACCUUUUCCUUCCAUGGAAUCUGAAGGCAAUUACAACUGGUUUUGUUUCAUGCCAACCUAUAUUUGGUUACAAUGCUGAGAGUCAUACCUUUUGGAAAAACCUAACUUUCUAUCAGGAGAUGGCUUGGGGUGAUUUACUAUCUAAAUUCCAUCACAAGUGGCCCUGGCUUUGCAGAACACAGUACACAGGAGGGGCAUAUGACAGCAAACACCACCUUCUCUACUCCAAAAAUCAAUCGUCUCCCUCUGGCAAAUUCUCCUCCUCAGAUUCAUGCUUCGUGCUGAUGGGUACUCACUCUACUUUCCUCCCUUGCUGGACAAUUAAUUAAGCAGUAACAAUAUCUUGUUGAUCCCAUGCACGCCACCCCUUUGGUCUCUUGGAGAAUUCUCUUUUCAGCCGUACCAAUGGCAACCUCUGAGUGACAUCUUUAUAUGAUCAGAUGUGGCGACAGUUUAGUAACAAGUUCUCAUUUUUGGCUCAUCAGCUUUUCGGUCUGCAUAUCAUCAGAACAAGACUGAGCCACAUUAGUGAAAUCUCAAGAGUAAACAAGCCGGUACUGCCGAUACAAGAGAAAGCAUUUUUAAACCGAUUUUAAAAAAAACGUUUUUAAGGCGCACUUUAAUCACCAUCAGAUGACUUUCAUACCAGUUUUGGGGGCAUCAGUUCAUAAUGCAGAAAAGAUGAAAGAGUCAUCUAAAGGAAAUAACGUUAACAACUCCGUUAUAAAAUACCUGAAGCAGUGCCUUGCUAGUUGUCACCAUUGCUUACUGAUCCAUCGUGAUAAAAUAAUACCUUGACAUACAACUGGCUGGAGCUAUGGGUUCCCCUAAAAGAUUUUUUUUUUUUUUUUUGAGAAUCAUUUAUCAGAAAUCUGUAGAUUGUAUACGGUAGCUAAUCAUGGGAAAUGGGGGAGGUGUGUCUAUCCCGCAGCAAUGGCAAUGAGUUAGGGUGUUGACGACACAGGACUGAGAAUUUCUGGGAAGCCCAGUAGAAUCUUUAAUCACGCCCGAAUGCCAUUUCCUAUCGAGUCAAACAUUUGUGAGCUGCCAGAGGAGAACUGUGCAAUCAAUCUUGAUAGUGUAUGUAAAAUUACCCAGGACUCUUGUUUGGGAUUAAGUUAAGAGUAUCUUGGUAAUAAGGAUUCAUCAUUCUCUUUCAAAAAUCAUUUGUCAGAUUUGUAGCACAAUCUUCAACUACAGAAAGGUGGGAUUUAGAAAGCAGUUGCUGUUUAUUUAUAGUUGAGGCCCUCAGAUCUAAAUUAUCCAUCCUUCCAAAACUCUGUGUUGGGAUGAAAAUGUUAAGUAGCUGCUUUUCAUCAACAUUCAUUUGAUAACUGCUAGCCAUCAAUUUAUAGUUGUCAGCACAGAAUACAAAUGAAUAUUGACUUCUUUAAAGGAAAGGGUACAGAGGUUUCUGAUAAACAAUAUAUGGCAAAGAAAAAAAAAACACCCACAUAUUGAUAUUUGUAAUGCAUUGGUUAGUACUCUAAUAUAAUACAGGGACACAUGAUACACAAGGUUUUGUUUUCAGGUUUUUCUAUUUUAAAAUGCAUGCUUAUUUAAAAGAAAGACUAGAUUCCUGUCUUAAAGUACUUAACUGUGAGAUAUAUAAGAAAUAGACACAAUAUCAUGGCAUAUCUAUAUAUUCAAUGAUAGAGAGUAGAUGUUCUGAGAUUGCUUUCUUACAGGGACAUGGCACAGCAAAGGCUGAAUUAAUCCACUUAUGCAAAAAGUAGAGGUAUGAAAGGAACACACCCUAGAAGUUAGAUUAGGCUUGGAACACCAAGGGCAGGGAAGGAGAACAGCUCUUCUGAAGGCGAGCAGUGUUUCCAAGACUAAAAUCCCAGGACAAAGAGGUGAUCUGAAGUGAGCAAGUUUGGCUAAAAGGAAAGACAUGUACCUCUUCAAACCCUGCCUAUUUCCAUUGUUCCUCAUCUGGUGUCUGUUGGGUAAAGCAACCACUUCCCAAAUGCAAAGCCAGCCACCUUAUCCAGUGACUCUGUGAAUACACCACUGGGAACAGAAUCAUUUAUCAGAGAGCUGCUGUGGUGGAGAUGAGGGGGUGAGCCCUCAUGUCACGGGUGGAAUGGAUGGCCGUCUCCACGCCCUGUCUUUCCCUGUCUCCCAGUAACUCUCCCCCUGUAGAGUGUAUAACCACUCUCCCAGAACGGUGAAGAGGUCAUCUCCAGAUACCUCGGCGACUGGGAUACAGCCAUUCCUCACAAACAACUACAGCUUCAAUCUCUGAUUGGAAACACAAAUGAAAGCAAACUGCUCCAAAAGGCCACGUGUUCCCUACUCACUGUCCAAGAGCAAUCUUUUAGGGGACACAUUUGCCACGAAUUCCAUUAGUUCAUAAAGUAAUGCAGCCUGUACAGGAAUGAGGCUCAUGGGCCUCCCUGGCUCGGUGACCGCACCAGUAAGUCACCCUAUUCUUCCACCGUGAUACUUCUGUAAUGAAAUACAAUUCCAUUUGGAAUCAGUGCUAACCAACGAACACGCCAACUUCCACCAAAAUGAUGGGAAGCAGCAGAAGACGGCCGAGAUGUCUACUCCAAAGACCUCAGCUCUGCAAACUGCCCAGCUUUUUCAGUGAGUUGCAGCCAAGGAGGACUAUUCAAGUGGCGACAAUGACUAGCAUUUAUUGAGAGGUUACGAUUCGCCAGACUCUGGGCGGAGAGCUUUAUAAGCAUUGUCUAACCCUCACCUAGCUCUAUGAGCCAGGGACAGCAUUCCCUUUCACAGAGAAGCCUACUUGCUAUCAGAGAUCAAAAGCAGCUCGUCCAAAGCCACACAGAUAAUCACGUAGACGAGUGACUUCAGACUCCGUGUCCAUGGGUACAUGAAACCUGCUCCCCAAAAAUGUGACACAAAUAUUUGGACGUGGCCCAUUUCCUCAUCAAUGUCUCUCACAGGGCUCUGGCUUCCUAUGCCCCUCUGCCUGCUCUGCUGCCUUCUCGGCCAGGCUACGUCUGGCCACGAGGUGAUGCCCUAACGUGGCCUAAAAUGAAAUCUGUGGGCUGUCGUGUGUUCGCCUGAGAAAUAUUAAAGGGAGAUUUUUUUUCCAUUGUUGAUUUAGUCAGGGAGCUACACUGAAAUGAUAUCCAUUUGGAUGAACCAAAAUGAAGACUCAGCACCACCUCGGAUGAUCCGACAGCAAGUGACCCUUACUAAAAAGGUUGUCCGAUUCAAAAUGCCAUCUCCAGGUGCCAGAUUUGCCAAACUAAGGAACCUACUCUUUGACGACAGAAUUUUUUCAAAGCACAGACAUCCCAAACAAGUGAAACGGACACAAUCUCCAUCUUAUCAGUUCCCACGCAUGUAGGUGCGAGCUCCGACGUGUUUCAUUAGGUGUGCAGGGAAAAUACUGAUCCAUCCCGCGUACUGCCCCUCCUCCAAUGAUUCCUCACAAAGUCAUUCCUACAGAUUCCUGACCACUGACUCCCACAAAGGCCUUGAACAAUCCAGGCUUAGAUACAUGCAAAUGCUUCCUGUAGGUAUUGAAAUGUAACUUGCUUCCUAAGCCUUUGGGAGUUUUGCUAACUCACAGGCUGUUCUUAACCUUUAUUAUAGAAGAGGAAUGCGCUCAAUUUCCCAAACAGAAACAGUGAAGAUGAUCAGGAAAGCAAAUGUUUGUUUUUAGGCUUUAAAAGUGUGACAAAGUGUUCUGGAGAAUCCAUUUCAAUCCCAUUCCAGCUCUUAGCCCUCCGGAAGAGAACAUGCCCUCCCUAACAAAAUAGACGUGGACAAUGUGUUUGGAUAUUCAUCUUUUGCCACAAGGAAAAAAGUUUCUUUGCUAGAAAGGUUCACAAAGGUAGAAAAACCUCAGGCUCCUUUUCGGUUGCCUCUCCCGUGACAGGUGAAGAGUGUCAAUCCCCAAGUGACACUGGGGACAGUGUCUAUGAGGGGGGCUCGAUGGCAGUGGCACAGAGUGAAGUGCCAGUCCAUCACCAUAAGUGCAACAGGUUCAAGCACAGACCACCACCACAAAUUACAAGGGACACCUUGAGCGAAACGCAUGCAGGGGGAAGAGGGCCAUGCAGCUUUCAAAUGACAGCCACGUGUUCACAGCCUUCUGUUCAGAGAGAACCUGUGAGCUGUCCUGGGCCCUUUCCUGUUAGCCGUGCAGGCAUCCCAAAUAUGACGCCCCCAAAUCCGAGUCUGGCUAAAGGGAAGUGUCAUACAAAGGCCACGCCAUUCUCCCUGACAAAAGACAUGAAUUUCUUGCAAGAUCACUAAGGAGUUUUAAGAGGUUGACUUGAAAACGAGAGUAGAAUGAGUUGGAAAGCCAGCAGGAAUGUGGCUCUUACUCCUCUGUGAAAUAUUUGCAGGAAUGAGCCUGGAGACCUGCAGGUUCAGGAUGGAAAGCUGGAAAGAAUUCUUUCCUAAAACUUAAGUUUUAGAGAAAAAUACGCAGCCAGUCCCAACCCUCCAAAGGCGUCCAAAGCCAUGUUUGUUCUGGGAAGGCCAAGGCAUGGGAGGAUGUUAACUUGGGCUAUCAGCAGGAUUGAAGGGCAGGGUGACCUUGCUACGCUGUCAGGGCCUGUGUUUCCAAGUUGACAAACUGUUCUGAGCUUUUCCAUGAAAUGAAUGAAGCCCUUUUCGUACCUCCUCCGUGUUCCAGAAUUCUUGCCAUCGACAUUCCAAAGGAUCUGUGACAGAUGGAUGUCUAGUCUUAAAAGGGACGAGUCGUAACAUUCAGAAUUAUUUUAUCUUUCUGAGACCUGCUGUUAUUGUGAGACCCAAGACAUGCUUUGCUGGGGUUGGGGUGAGGGUACUCCUAACGAGGGAAGGAAAAAGAAAUGGCUUCAGAGCAAUCCAUGUGGGUGACUGCAUGCACGCUUGUUCCAUCUUCCAUUUGUGCCUGCCCAAAGUGUUCUAGAACUGACUGGACCUGAGAGGCUGUCUCAUUGGAACUAAGAGAAGGUAUUGUCGAUGAUGUCUUAUAUCCAUGGAAGAAUUCCCUAGGCAUUCCCUCUGAUGCUGCCUGCUCAAAGAAGUUUCUUUGCUCUAAGAAGUUUCUUUCUGAAUGGGGAUGAAAAAUUGCAUUGGGGUAUCCAUUCUUCCAUGGUUAGUUUGAAAUGGCCAAGCAGAAGUGCCAUAGAAAUUUGCCAGCAAAUGGGAAUUGAACAAUGAGAACCCUUGGACACAGGAAGGGGAACAUCACACACCGGGGCCUGUUGUGCGGUGGGGGGGAGGGGGGAGGGAUAGCAUUAGGAGAUAAACCUAAUGUAACUGACGAGUUAAUGGGUGCAGCACACCAACACAGCACAUGUAUACACAUGGAACAAACCUGCAGGUUGUGCACAUGUACCCUAGAACAUAAAAAAAAAAAAAGAUUUGCCACCAAAAUAAGCAUCUAACUGAUAGUGUCAUCCUUCUACAUGGAACAAAUCUGAUGGCAUGUCACUGAACUUUUCCAACUGGGCCAUCUUGAUGCCCGUGCUGAGGGACUGCUGAGUGUUUAUAAGAGAUCAAAGAAGAUACUUAGUGUAUGUUUAUUUGAAACAUUUUUACACUUUUACUCUACUUCUUUAACCUCUGUUAUGGUUAUAGCUAGCUCGUGGACUGCGUAUAAAUGUAUGCAUCUGUAUUCGCCAUGUACGCUGAAAUAAGCCUUUGAAAUUAUUGACAGGCAGAAUUAAUGAGCUCAGUUCUAAUAGCGCAAAGAAUAUCUUCAUAGUACAGGUGAAACAAACAGCUUCCCCCUUCCCUUCUUCUGCACAGAAUGGCUCUACGAAGUCUGCCUGCCAAAUUACGUCUUUUAGAAAACCAAGUAGCUGGUUGUUUUGUGAGCAGGCAGGAUUUCAGGACAAACCACAAACAAGCUGUUUGUUUAGAUUUUAAGGUUGACAGUUCGUUUGCACAUAUGCCCCUUAAGUAUUCUAUAACAUAGUCUGAAAAAGCACUGAAGAAAAAAAAAACACACACAAGGUCUCUGCUGGGGCCACAUCAUGGUAAGGAAUGAACUCUUAACUCUGCCUUCCAGAAACAAAUUCAGAGGAUGUACUUUGCAAUAAUUCAGAUCUCACAGGCAAAGCCCCCAAUGUCCAGCCCCGCUAUUUCAAAUCGGGCAUGACUGCGUUAGGUGUGUGGAUUUCCAUAGAGAGCUCACUGGAACAGACCAUUUCUCAGGCUCCAAGACGCUGGCCUUGUUAAUAUUUCAUUUAGAACAUACUGUGGCGAGCAUCUCAUUUAUAUUACUUCCAUAAUUAAUGGUGAUAGCUUAGGUACUGCCUUUACAGAGAGAGAUCUCUUCACAGUGGUCGAUGGGUAAUGAGAAACAAUAGAUAUUUCAUUCACCAGCAGCGUGUUGCUAGUUAGUAGGAAAUGAUCGUGUGUGCUGUUGCUUUAAUUGCCCGGGGAAAUAAUUCUGCCUCGGUGUUAGUGAGCAUUUUAAAGCACUUGAUGCAAAUAGACUAGAAACAAAACGAACAAAAAAAAAUUAACCUUGAUUAUGCAACACCUUAGCAUAGAAAGUUACAAAGGUAUGUCUUUUUUAAAGUUUGCAUUCUAUCAUGCAAAUAUUAUCUAAAUAUGCAUGUGCUGACUACUCAUCUACUGUAUUUUAGGAAAUACAAUUAGGCUGCCUUUAUCUUCCCCUACGUAGACUGUAAAUAACUGUAGAUCUUUCUCUUGUUUCCCUAUGUAAAUAUAUGUAAAUACUAACAAGCUAUGCAUGCUGCAAUUCUAGGCAAUUUCAGGUACUUUUAUAAUAUGAAGGCAUGUACUUGAACUCGUUUGUUAACAGAGGGGAAAUAACUCUCUCAAACUCUUUAAAGCUGAAUAGAAAUUAAAGAUUUCUUCCUAGAC